UGCUGUAAUGACCUGAGAAAUGGCAAUAAAAUGAAUGCAGCCACUCAAGUUUGAAAUUAGAAAAAUAGCGAGGGAAAUAACUAACACUAAAAUCAACGGCUGCGAUUAGAAUUCAGUUAAUGAGCUUCGAGGGCUCAGAUGCAGCCAGCUGGACGAGUUCUAUUAUAAAGCCUAACAAACUCGUUGGGUAGAGGUUUGUUGCAUAACUGGUACAAUCCAAAUUCCCUCUUCUUCUAAAUCCUCUCGUCUCUCUUUCUAUCCUCUCUCCUAAUUCUCUUCUCUUCUCUUCUCUUCUCUUCCAUUCUACAGGUAUGGAGUCUUUCAUUCUACAGGUUACAAGCUCGUUUAUGGAGUCAAGUAGAUAUUUUUUCAUAUUUUCCGUUAUCCUUUAGUUUUCAUUAGUUGUAAUCGUCAUUCAAUAUCGGUCAAUAUAAUAUCAGGAAAUUAUCCCAAAAAUAUUGUGAUUACUCCUUUUUGGCUUUUGAGAAUUGAGAUCAUAACAAUUGGUAUCAGAGAAACGAACCUAUCUCGACUGUGGGUAAUAACUCGAAGAAGAUGUUUGCAGAAUCUACAAUGGAUGAAUUGGUUGAACGAAAUAAUGCAAAUAGAAGGGUCCUUAUGGAUGGAAUGCCAGGAAUAGUUGUGAAUGUUAAACAACUGCAGAAGUGGUGUGAGGAUUGCGUAUACAGUGUUGACUACCAAUGCAACUCUUGCAUCUAUAGAUGUGUAAGGAGCGUUGACUGCCAGUGCUAUUUUUGUCUUGAUAAUUGUUCAAGGGAAAUGAGUAAAGGGGACAAACAGGCUGAAGUGGAUUUAGAUGACCAUGCUAUGGUUGACCUACUGAAGGUUGAAAAUAGCAGUAAGAUUGAUCCAGAAUACAAUGAGGGACAGGUGUUCGACGAAUGUCCUCAGAGGGUCGAAUCUGAAGUUCUACUUGAACUUCACUCCAUCCAAAAUUCAAACAUCACAAAUAUUGAUAUCGUGAACUCAUAUUUGGAUUCACAACUUUAUGUCCUUGCUGUUGAGGAUACAAUACCCAAAUUGCUGGGUCUCAACGAUCUUUUCGGUGCUUAUAAUUUCACGACCCACCUUGCAUGUGCACCUUGGUCAAUUUCAAUUGAGGUACUGAGAUUUCUAUAUUCGAUAUAAAACUGGAGAGGGAUGUUACUAACAUGUUUUGUUUGCAUAGAUCUUCUGAUAACAUCAAUCGAGUGUGGGAUACUGGAUGGCAGUUGUUUAUGCAUUUCCCUGUUGUGUAUAUUAGUUCCAUUUGUUCAGUUUCUGCCAUUUCAAUAUAUAAACAUGAUUAUAGUAGUAUAGGAGGCCUCUCCUUACACGUAACAACAUCAUCUAGGAAGGAUAUUAUGUUACUUUGGGGCUCAAUUUUGCAAUUAACCUUGCUUCAUGACUCUAAAAAGGUAACCACAAUUGAUUUGUUUGAACACAAUUGGUUAGUUGAUGAGUGUACAAUCUGGAAAGCUUCUCAAAGAAGGGAUUCAGUCAUGGCUAGAAGUUUGUCUACUUCUAGAGCAAAGUGUUCCUUCAAAAAACCACAUAUUUGUAGACUAUGUCAUCCUUGGUUAUUCGAUUUUAUCCUUCUUGUUGCAAUGUACUCAUGUGCUCAUAACUUCUGGAGUAGAAUUAAAGAUGGCAAAGCUACAUGGUUACAGAUUACUCGAAGAGAAUUACUAGUGAAUUGGUCAACCAAAACUGAAGUUAAGUUAGAGACAAUCUACACUGGGCAGGAAACUAAGGGCUCAAGACAAUGUGAAAGGAAUCCUCACCUUCUACAAUUGGAAUACUUGUUACCUUCUUGUCUUAAACAUUUUUUCCUUUGGAUGAUGACUUUGAAAUUCUUCAGCCAAGUUCUCGGGAUGCGUUGGUUAGUCGUGUUUGUUUUUCCAUUCUUCAAGAUACAAUGAUAACUGAGAUGCCCCGUAAAGUGAUUGUGUUUAUUGUUAUAUUUGUGGGGUUACUACAUCUGAGUUCAUGUUUUGAACAUGCUGCCCAGACACUACUAUUCACAAUAGGGGAACCAGAGGUGGCAGGGUGGAGAGAGCUCUUCUUCGUCUCAGUUUAUUAGUAUUUUCAGAAGCUUCCAACUUGUCUCCUCCUUGCAAUUAUCAUUCUAUGUGGGAUGUUACAGGUGGCUUACACAAAAUGGAAUACAAUGAAAGUCAUUCGAGAAAGAUGUGGCUCUCGACUGACUUGGUAUUUUGAGAGAAAUCGAAGGAUCCUCUACAUGUUGUGUUCAACAAUUUGUUUGUAGGUUUGGAUGUUACAAUAUGCUUCUCUGUUGCAAAAUGUUUUGGUUUUGGUUUUAUUGGUUAUGGCAGUAGAUGCAUCUCGAACCUUUUUUUGACUGUAUCGGAUACUCAUGCAGCUAUAAGGUUACAUCAUUUGAGUUACGACUUGGAUGUAUCUUCUAAUCAAGAAGGAUGGGAGAACACAGUGCAAACAAGCUUCUUAGCUCUUGAUACUCGAGUUGUGAAUGAACCAGCAGUUAGUAAUGUUUGGACGAGGGAAUACCUUGCUACAUUGGACAAAAAAUCUAUUAUUCUUUAUGUGGAAGGAGGUCAUGUUCGAUCUGUGAGUAACAAUGGGUCCUUAAAGUUCCCAUAUAACCAUGGGGGUAGCUUGCCUUGGAGAGACUCUGAUUUCUUCUCUGGCAACAAUUUUGAUCCUCCAAAAAUUAUUGCAUCUUCAUUGAUCUUUUAUAAAGUGCUUGACCCGCCUACUUCAGAGGAUAGUCAUCUGCAGAAGGCAGCUCCCAGGUUACAUGUUACUGGUUCUUUGGUCCCUAAAGAGAAGGUGAUACUCAUGAGGAAAGCUACUUAUGGUUCUUAAAUAGCAGUCAUAGAUGAUAGAAUUAUAGCCUUUUUAUGUCAUCUCUAUGCCACUUCCAUGUAUAUUCUUGAGGACUACAAGUUCCCAUUUGAUCCAGGAGGCAUUAGUGUUCCAUUUGGUGGUCCUGCACAUCAAUUCCCAUUCGAAUAUGGUUGUUUCGUCGUCAAGAUAACACCCUUCAGGUCUUGGUGUUCUUCAACAAGUGGGGUGUUUUAAAUUUCAGAUUCUUUUAGCUCAUCCUUGAGGUCAAGGAUUAUUUGAAGAGGACGGGUAUGUAAUGACCUGAGAAAUGGCAAUAAAAUGAAUGCAGCCACUCAAGUUUGAAAUUAGAAAAACAGCGAGGGAAAUAACUAACACUAAAAUCAAUGGCUGCGAUUAGAAUUCAGUUAAUGAGCUUCGAGGUCUCAGAUGCAGCCAGCUGGACGAGUUCUGUUAUAAAGCCUAACAAACUUAUUGGGUAGAGGUUUGUUGCAUAACUGGUAUGGAGUCUUUCAUUCUACAGGUUACAAGCUCGUUUAUGGAGUCAAGUAGAUAGUUUUUCAUAUUUUCCGUUAUCCUUUAGUUUUCAUUCGUUGUAAUCGUCAUUCAAUAUCAGUCAAUAUAAUAUCAGAAAAUUGUCCCAAAAAUAUUGUGAUUACUCCUUUUUGGCUUUUGAGAAUUGAGAUAAUAACAAAUUCCACCUAUGGGAAGUUUCUUUUGAGCAUUAUCCAUCCCCGGGGAGAAAUCUUGAAAGUAUUUUUGCUA